UACGUAGGGUGCAAGCGUUGUCCGGAUUUAUUGGGCGUAAAGAGCGUGUAGGCGGUCAGGUAGGUCCGUUGUGAAAACUCGAGGCUCAACCUCGAGACGCCGAUGGAAACCAUCUGACUAGAGUCCGGAAGAGGAGAGUGGAAUUCCUGGUGUAGCGGUGAAAUGCGCAGAUAUCAGGAAGAACACCCGUGGCUAAGGCGGCUCUCUAGUACGGUACUGACGCUGAGACGCGAAAGCGUGGGGAGCGAACAGG
rnacentral:rRNA from 1 species